GACGAACGCGGGCGGCGUGCUUAACACAUGCAAGUCGAACGAAGAGCGAUGGAAGCUUGCUUCUAUCAAUCUUAGUGGCGAACGGGUGAGUAACGCGUAAUCAACCUGCCCUUCAGAGGGGGACAACAGUUGGAAACGACUGCUAAUACCGCAUACGAUCUAACCUCGGCAUCGAGGAUAGAUGAAAGGUGGCCUCUACAUGUAAGCUAUCACUGAAGGAGGGGAUUGCGUCUGAUUAGCUAGUUGGAGGGGUAACGGCCCACCAAGGCGAUGAUCAGUAGCCGGUCUGAGAGGAUGAACGGCCACAUUGGGACUGAGACACGGCCCAGACUCCUACGGGAGGCAGCAGUGGGGAAUCUUCCGCAAUGGACGAAAGUCUGACGGAGUAACGCCGCGUGAGUGAUGACGGCCUUCGGGUUGUAAAGCUCUGUUAAUCGGGACGAAAGGCCUUCUUGCGAAUAGUUAGAAGGAUUGACGGACCGAAUAGAAAGCCACGC
rnacentral:rRNA from 1 species